AAAUUGAAGAGUUUGAUCAUGGCUCAGAUUGAACGCUGGCGGCAGGCCUAACACAUGCAAGUCGAACGGUAACAGGAAGCAGCUUGCUGCUUCGCUGACGAGUGGCGGACGGGUGAGUAAUGUCUGGGAAACUGCCUGAUGGAGGGGGAUAACUACUGGAAACGGUGGCUAAUACCGCAUAACGUCGCAAGACCAAAGAGGGGGAUCUUCGGGCCUCUUGCCAUCAGAUGUGCCCAGAUGGGAUUAGCUUGUUGGUGAGGUAACGGCUCACCAAGGCGACGAUCCCUAGCUGGUCUGAGAGGAUGACCAGCCACACUGGAACUGAGACACGGUCCAGACUCCU
rnacentral:rRNA from 1 species